rnacentral:rRNA from 1 species
AACGAACGCUGGCGGCAUGCCUAACACAUGCAAGUCGAACGGGAUCCGGACUUCGGUCCGGUGAGAGUGGCGGACGGGUGAGUAACACGUGGGAACCUGCCUUUUGGUUCGGGAUAACCGCGGGAAACUGCGGCUAAUACCGGAUACUCCCGAGAGGGGAAAGAUUUAUCGCCAGAAGAGGGGCCCGCGUCCGAUUAGGUAGUUGGUGGGGUAAUGGCCUACCAAGCCGACGAUCGGUAGCUGGUCUGAGAGGAUGAUCAGCCACACUGGGACUGAGAUACGGCCCAGACUCCUACGGGAGGCAGCAGUGGGGAAUAUUGGACAAUGGGGGGCAACCCUGAUCCAGCAAUGCCGCGUGAGUGAUGAAGGCCUUAGGGUUGUAAAGCUCUUUUUGCCAGGGAAGAUGAUGACUGUACCUGGAGAAUAAGCCCCGGCUAACUUCGUGCCAGCAGCCGCGGUAAU